CUUCGAAACGUGGGUUCCUCUCUACGCUGACAAGAUCAUUCGUCUGGCGAAACGUGAAGGGAAACUCGCAUUGCCAGAGGAAGAGAUCAAUCUGGAAAAUUGGUCCGCGUCAGUGUGGAAGAAUCAAAGAGAUUCUUCAUUGAUGUUAAGCCUGUCGGAACUAACAUGGUGGAGUAUUUGGAGGAAGCCAAAUCGUUCAGGUCGUGCCCGUUCGUGCUGCUGCUUAACGAUGGGAUGCUGUGCUCUCAAGCCUUUGUUGUCAUCUCAGGCACGGCUAUUGAGACCGAGACGGCUCUCGCAGCGGUGGAUACUUGUUUUAAGACUUUUUAUGUCUUUGACAUCCAAUAUCCAAGCCAGUGUUUGCCUACUUGGCAAUUUCUCCAGGAUGUGGUGUAUGAACUCCAAGGAACUGUUUCCCCAGCAGUGAAGUUCCUGAAAUCCCAACUACAUGCAUGCAAAUAGACUGGCCUGCAACCCCCCCACCCAUCUCUUCCUUUCUCUCUCCUCUCCCUCUGUUGUUUAAUUUU